GUGUUUGCCAGGCAGGUAGAAGAGGACCAGACUUGGCAGAGGGCAGUAGGCAGUAGGCCCUGGGCUGGGCCUGGCAGACCUGGCUGCUGUCUCCAGGUUCUGCCUAGGGUGCCUGCUAGCCCACUCUCCUCCUCUGAGCCAAUCAUAGAAUAAACAGGGAAGAAAUCAAAAGGUGGCUUAGCACAGCUGGACAGGGAGGCAGAGGACAUAUAGUGCCACUCCAGGGACAGGAAGGAAGACAGUCAAUACCUCUUGCCUGACACCAGGUAGAUCUCAUUGCUAGAGCUCUGGGGGACUGACAUAAUAACCUCUGACCCUCUCAGAGGGACAACAGGGACAAGGUGAGGCAGGGAAAGGCUGGGAGACAAGUCCUGGCACCACCAAGCCAUAUCCCACAAAUAGCAAUGAGAUAAUACAGAAUAGGCCAGAACCAACCCGGAAAGAGACGCACGGUGAAAAUUCAGCACAACCUGAGGGAAAGCUAGGAUCUCUAGCCGUGCGGUGCUUCAUGGACUCUUCCCUGCAGGUACCAGCCAGAUCAUCAUAUACCAGAGGCCAUCUCUCCUGAGUCUUUUGAGGAAGAGCAAAGAUGAUAUGUGACUCCAAGGCUGAGGGUCUGGUUGCGUCACGGUGGUAGGAGAUGCACCCCCUUUCCGCACUUCCUGUUUUCUGCUAAUGAUUUCCAGGUAUAUCUUGUCCAGCUCAUAGCCCACAACCCAGGAAGGAGGCCCAUGUCUUCCGCUGCCCGCUGAGCCUCAGGAGUUAAUAAUUAAGGGUUUAAGAAGAUAGAAGCGUCUGGGAGGCCCCGCCCGGCCGCUGUGCUGCUGCUCCUGAGAGAUAGCAAAGGUUAGUGUG
rnacentral:lncRNA from 1 species